AAUCUUGCAAUUGUAUUUGGGGUAUCUUUUUUAUUCCGUUUUGCUUCCAUCUUGAAAGUUUUUUAAUGCUGCUAGUGCUAAACCAAUUUUUAUUGUGCUUCUGAUAAUAUGGCUGCAAGCAGUUGUAAACCACAGUUUAAAAUUCAAUUCAAACCAAUUAAAAUAACAUAAAUUAACUUGAUAAUGUAUUCAAUGUUAAAACGUCUUUCAUUUAGGAUUGGGACCUUCAGUCUAAUUAUAUACUAUUAAGGUUGCAGGAAGAUUUGGUGAAUAAAAUUUUAGAGCUUAGUUUGUGUGUAUGCUUUAAAUUUUUUUCGAUGUGUAUUUGUUUUAUAAUUUGGAUUUUGAGGUUUAAGACUAAUGUAAUAGUAUACAGCAAAGACGGAAAAUAAUGAUGAUUAAUUGGCGGCUGUUAAUCAAACCGUUGCAAUUUGACAAGAUAACGGCCAUUAUGAUAGCAGUUUGGAUUUCUGCUACAAAAAGAACUAAUAUAGCGGCGGUUAGUUUCCCUCCUGCUGCAAAUCAAACCAAGAAGAGAGCCAACGGCCCUAAGUGCCCCGUCACUCACUCGACUAGAUGUCCGGAGCUCUAAGUCUGAAUCACUCCCCCUUCUCCACCCCUAACAUCUCUUCGACCACCCACGCAGCGCCAUCAUCGAUCAUCACCCCAGAGUGUCUCUGUCAGAACCACAUAACCACCACCGUCAUCAUCUUCUCCUUCAUCUUCUUCUUCUUCUUUCACCGAACAACCACCGCGAAAACCUUUUCUCUCUUUCUUUUCCCCUAUCUCCUGCCUUCUCUGUCUCACCACCGGCUACCAUCCAGUGCCGCCGCGACCAUCUUCUUCCCCUCCUCACAACCUCGCACUGUGGCUCUCUAGCUCGCCCCUGCCUUCCUCAUUCCCAGUGACAGAAUCAGAACAGAGGCACUCUAGUUCCAGCGAGUUCAGACGCAGCAGCGGCUGGUCACUGCCACUGCAUCCCUUUCUCCUGAGUUCUUGCUCUGUCCUUCGACUCAGGUGAUUCUGAGAAGUUGAGAAAUGUGUUAUUUGAGCUUGCAAGACGCCAUGCCCCCUCAACCAUAUUUCUUGAUGAAAUUGAUGCAAUCAUUAGUCAACGCGGUGAAGCACGCAGUGAACAUGAAGCAAGUAGACGACUAAGAACUGAACUACUCAUACAGUUAUUAUGCUAUUCAUACUGCUGAACUCUCCUCAGAUGACACAUUAUUUUAUUGUAAUUACGGCUUGCAUUGUGCUUGCUGUUUUUGCAAUGGCUACAAGCCUGAGGAUGUACACAGCUUGUCAGCAUCUUCAAGCUCAGGCCAGGGCUCAUGCAGCAGCAACAACUGGAUUGCUUAGCCAUACCGAAUUAUGGCUUCAUGUGCCACCAUCCAUAGA